rnacentral:rRNA from 1 species
UACGAAGGGGGCUAGCGUUGCUCGGAAUCACUGGGCGUAAAGGGCGCGUAGGCGGCCAUUCAAGUCAGGGGUGAAAGCCUGUGGCUCAACCACAGAAUUGCCUUUGAUACUGUUUGGCUAGAGACCGGAAGAGGUAAGUGGAACUGCGAGUGUAGAGGUGAAAUUCGUAGAUAUUCGCAAGAACACCAGUGGCGAAGGCGGCUUACUGGUCCGGUUCUGACGCUGAGGCACGAAAGCGUGGGUAGCAAACAGG